UACAGAGGGUGCAAGCGUUGUUCGGAAUUAUUGGGCGUAAAGCGCGUGUAGGCGGCUUUGCAAGUCGGGUGUGAAAGCCCUCAGCUCAACUGAGGAAGUGCGCCCGAAACUGCAGAGCUUGAGUACCGGAGAGGAUGGCGGAAUUCCCCAAGUAGAGGUGAAAUUCGUAGAUAUGGGGAGGAACACCGGUGGCGAAGGCGGCCAUCUGGACGGAUACUGACGCUGAGACGCGAAAGCGUGGGAGCAAACAGG
rnacentral:rRNA from 1 species